CUUGCAUGGCUGCCUUCAUGGAAUGGAGUGUCAGCGUGGGUGUCCAUCCAUGAGAACCAGCAACUUAGGAAACCGUUGGAACGACUGAGUGAGGAAGAUUGGCCCUGAGCUAACAGCACAGCUUGAUGAGAGUGCCUCUGCUCCUCGGGACGGAGGGAACACGGGAGAGGGAGACCUCUGGCGGCGGCGGCUGCCCGCAAUGCACUGUCGGGGAGUCCCCGAGGGAGGAAACGACUUAAAGCAGUUACUCCCUGAAAGUCUGCUUGCAAAGGAAGCUAAAUUUACUGUGAGGAUUCAGGCUAUAGUUUUUUUGUAGACUUUAUUUUUUAGAGCAGUUUUAGGUUCCCAGCAAAAUGGGCGGAAAGUACAGAGCUCCCCUAUGCUGUCCCCCACCCCCAGCCACAGCUUCCCUCGCUGUGGACAUACCCCCGGGAGAGCGGUACGUUUGUUACAAUCAACAAGUUACAGUGACACAUCAUUAUCACUCAGAGUCCAUAGUUUACUUUAGGGCUCAGGCGUGGUGGUGUACGUUCUGUGGGUUUGAUAAAUGUUUAAUGACAUGUCUCCACCAUAGUAGUUCCAUCCAGAGUAGUUUCACUGCCCUAAAAUGCUCUGUGUCCGCCUAGUCAUCCCUCCCUUCCCCGAACUCCUGGCAACCACUGAUCUUUUUACUGUCUCCAUAGUUUUGCCUUUUCCAGAAUGUCAUCUAGUUGGUGUCAUGCAGUUUGCAGCCUUUCAGAUUGGCUUGUUUCACUUAGCAAUAGGCAUUCAAGUUCCUCCAUGUCUUUUCAUGGCUUGAUAUCUCAUUUCCUUUUAAUGUUGAAUAGUAUUCC